ACACACACACACUCUGAAACACACACACUCUGAAACACACACACACACACUCUAAAACACACACACACACACACACUCUGAAACACACACACACACACUCUGAAACACACACACACACACACACACUCUGAAACACACACACACACACUCUGAAACACACACACACUCUGAAACACACUCACACACACUCUGCAACACACACACACACACUCACACACACUCUGAAACACACACACACACACUCACACACACUCUGAAACACACUCACACACUCUGAAACACACACACACACUCUGAAACACACUCACACACUCUGAAACACACACACACACACUCUGAAACACACACACACACUCUGAAACACACACACACACUCUAAAACACACACACACACACUCUAAAACACACACACUCACACACACUCUGAAACACACUCACACACACUCUGAAACACACACACACACACACACUCUGAAACACACACACACACACUCUGAAACACACUCACACACUCUGAAACACACACACACACUCUAAAACACACACACACACACUCUAAAACACACACACUCACACACACUCUGAAACACACUCACACACACUCUGAAACACACACACACACACACACUCUGAAACACACACACACACACUCUGAAACACACUCACACACUCUGAAACACACUCACACACUCUAAAACACACAAACACACACUCUAAAACACACACACACACACACACACACACACACACACACACUCUAAACUCUAAUAGCCUACACGCUAAUAGCCUACACGCAAAUAGCCUACACGUUAAUCGCCUACACGCUAAUAGCCUGCACGCUAAUAGUCUACACGCUAAUAGCUUACACGCAAAUAGCCUACACGCUAAUCGCCUACGCGCUAAAAGUCUACACGCUAAUCGUCUACACGCUAAUAGCCUACACGCUAAUCGUCUACACGCUAAUAGUCUACACGCUAAUCGCCUACCCGCUAAUCGCCUACGCGCUAAUAGCCUACGCGCUAAUAGCCUACAUGCUAAUCACCUACACGCUAAUAGCCUACACGCUAAUAGCCUACAUGCUAAUCGCCUACACGCUAAUAGCCUACACGCUAAUCGCCUACACGCUAAUAGCCUACACGCUAAUAGCCUACACGCUAAUAGCCUACACGCUAAUCGCCUACACGCUAAUAGGCUACACGCUAAUAGCCUACACGCUAAUAGGCUACACGCUUUUGGGAACUGGCAGAAAAAGUUGACGUUAUUACAAAAAGGACAAUGUCAGAAUUAAAUUCAAUAAGAGAAAAGCUGUGAAGUGGAUAGUUGAAAAUAGACAGAAACUGAAAUCUGGACACUGACUGUAGGAUCUAUAACCUCUCAUAUAGCCUUACUGUAGGAUCUAUAACCUCUCAUAUAGCCUUACUGUAGG
rnacentral:lncRNA from 1 species